rnacentral:lncRNA from 1 species
UCUCUCCACAAGCACAGUUUUGUUUUGUGAUCUGGUUGAUAAUGGUUUUGAUUAGGUGCACCCUUCAACACUGACACACAUUUUACCUUCAUCCAUGUGUCUCCAUUACACCCCUCACAUGUCUACUUUCACACUUCACAGAUUGCGGACAGGUGGAGUUGAUUGGGUUGAGGUGACAAGUUGCACCUGGGUUUGGGAUCAACUAGGAGAAGUUCCUGGUGCCCAGUCCUGGCUCUCUCUCUCCACAAGCACCAUUUUGUUUUGAUGUGGUUGAUUAUGUUUUUUGAUUAGGUGCACCCUUCAACACUGACACACAUUUUACCUUCAUCCAUGUGUCUCCAUUACACCCCUCACAUGCCUACUUUCACACUUCACAGGUUCAUUUUCCUUUGUAGUUUUAUACUUUAGUUAUUUAACAAAUAUUUGUGUUACUCCUUAACUGCCUACAUGGACUCCCUUGCUUGUCACCAUCUAAGAGCCAGGUUGUGACAACUGCAGGGAGAGUGGGAGACAUAGUAGUGAGCCAAAGACAGCUUUUAUUGUGGGGGAGGUGGGUCUUUGGCUCGUCUCUAACGCUGACUCAAAGAUGCCUGCGUGAGAACUGUAUUUCAACUGGGAGGAAAAACAAGGGAAGACAGGACAACAGUGAGAAUGAGGACUGAUGUGAAGUCCUCACAGGAACUUCUAGACUUUACCCAAGGGAAGAAUGUGGGAGAUGCAGAAUGGAAUGUGGAAUUUGUCAGAGGGGAGGGGCUGAAGGGGUAAGAGACCUCUCUGCUUUGUUAGGAUUUCCUGUGCUGUGAGGUCAGAUGGCUGCAACACUAACUUCACACAACUUCAAUGGUACCACACUCAAUGUCAGUAUUUGAGUAAUUGUCUUCUGACAAAGAAGAAAUGCUCAUAUCCCACCUGUUGGGAGUUGUUUGUUGUUUUUCAGAACAUUCAAAUAAAAGAACUAAGAAUGGCUGAUCCUACAUGGUAAAUUCAAAAAGCUUUGCUCUGAAACUCAGAAGAAACUUCCACACAACCUUUUCCUAUGUAACCCAACAUUCCACUGUAUUGACAUCAUCAGAGCCAAUUGACAGUGGGAAUAUAUUUUUCUAUUUACCUAGGCAAGUCAUUUAAGAAAAUAUUGUUAUUUAUAAUGACGGCCAAACCCGGACGACGCUGGGCCAGUUGUGCGCCGCCCUAUGGGACUCCGAAUCACGAUCGGAUGUGAUACAGCUUGGAAUAUGUAUAGCAAGCGUAAACCACAUGGAAUUUACAUUUUUCUCUUAGGCAGAUGAUUGGCUGCAUGUCACUUAUAUAAUGGUCUAGAGUAAAGUGUGCUGACUGCUCACCCGUUAGUGAUGCCUGACCUACAGUAUAUCCUGAAAGUCCUGUAUACAGUAUCAAGUUCUGCUGUGGCUUGCAGCAAAUAAAACGUAUGUUUCUAACCAGGACAUCCCAUACUCGCAUCUCAAAGCCAAGCUGUAAAAUACACAUCUUUGACUGAUACAACUUCAAAUUACACCCCCUGUUAUGGCUGAUACUUAGAAUAGUAUAUUUGUAUUUCUUUUUUUCUACACCAAUUUGCAUUUCUAUAAAUGAGAGAUGACGCCACAGGUGAAGAGACGUUCUCAGCUGUAUUCACUGUGUGGGAGAUCCCAGGAGGUUUAGGAGAGCGGUAAACAACGGUGGCUAAAUGUUUACAUCUAAUUUCACACUGAG